rnacentral:rRNA from 1 species
UGGGGAAUUUUGGACAAUGGGCGAAAGCCUGAUCCAGCAAUGCCGCGUGUGUGAAGAAGGCCUUCGGGUUGUAAAGCACUUUUGUCCGGAAAGAAAUCCUUGGCUCUAAUACAGUCGGGGGAUGACGGUACCGGAAGAAUAAGCACCGGCUAACUACGUGCCAGCAGCCGCGGUAAUACGUAGGGUGCAAGCGUUAAUCGGAAUUACUGGGCGUAAAGCGUGCGCAGGCGGUUUGCUAAGACCGAUGUGAAAUCCCCGGGCUCAACCUGGGAACUGCAUUGGUGACUGGCAGGCUAGAGUAUGGCAGAGGGGGGUAGAAUUCCACGUGUAGCAGUGAAAUGCGUAGAGAUGUGGAGGAAUACCGAUGGCGAAGGCAGCCCCCUGGCCAAGUACUGACGCUCAUGCACGAAAGCGUGGGGAGCAAACAGGAUUAGAUACCCCUGGUAGUCCCACGCCCUAAANGAUGUCAACUAGUUGUUGGGGAUUCAUUUCCUUAGUAACGUAGCUAACGCGUGAAGUUGACCGCCUGGGGAGUACGGUCGCAAGAUUAAAACUCAAAGGAAUUGACGGGGUCAUAGCUG